rnacentral:rRNA from 1 species
GGCUCUUUGUAGAUAAAUAAAAUAAAGAGUCCGGCCUGCUCAAUGAUGAUUAAUCAUUAAAUAGCUGCGGAAUCCUAACCGUGUGAAAGUAGCAUAAUCAUUUGCCUCUUAAUUGGUGGCUGGAAUGAAUGGUACGAUGAAAAUAGAGCUGUCUCUAGUAUGUUUUAUUGAAAUUACCUUUUAGGUGAAAAGGCCUAAAUAUAUCUAUAAGACAAGAAGACCCUAUCGAGCUUUAAGUUGGUUAUGUAAAUAACUUGAUUAGCUUUUGGUUGGGGCAACCAGGGGGUAAAAGAAAUCCCUCUUUUAUUAAUUUACUUACUAGUAAAGAUCCAGUUAUAUUGAUCAAGGGAAUAGUUACCGUAGGGAUAACAGCGUAAUUCCUUUUGUGAGUUCUUAUUAACAAAGGAGUUUGCGACCUCGAUGUUGGAUUAAGAUAUCCUGAGGGUGCAGUAGCUUUCAAGGGUUGGUUUGUUCAACCAUUAAAAUCUUACAU